GACGUAGGGGGCCAGCGUUGUUCGGAAUUACUGGGUGUAAAGGGUUCGUAGGCGGUGUGGUAAGUCGGGUGUGAAAUCUCUGGGCUCAACCCAGAGACUGCUUCCGAAACUGCUGUGCUUGAGUGUGAGAGAGGCUCGUGGAAUUGCAGGUGUAGCGGUGAAAUGCGUAGAUAUCUGCAGGAACACCCGUGGCGAAAGCGGCGAGCUGGAUCACUACUGACGCUGAGGAACGAAAGCUAGGGGAGCAAACAGG
rnacentral:rRNA from 1 species